rnacentral:rRNA from 1 species
UGGGGAAUAUUGCACAAUGGGCGCAAGCCUGAUGCAGCCAUGCCGCGUGUGUGAAGAAGGCCUUCGGGUUGUAAAGCACUUUCAGCGAGGAGGAAGGUGGUGAACUUAAUACGUUCAUCAAUUGACGUUACUCGCAGAAGAAGCACCGGCUAACUCCGUGCCAGCAGCCGCGGUAAUACGGAGGGUGCAAGCGUUAAUCGGAAUUACUGGGCGUAAAGCGCACGCAGGCGGUUUGUUAAGUCAGAUGUGAAAUCCCCGGGCUCAACCUGGGAACUGCAUUUGAAACUGGCAAGCUAGAGUCUCGUAGAGGGGGGUAGAAUUCCAGGUGUAGCGGUGAAAUGCGUAGAGAUCUGGAGGAAUACCGGUGGCGAAGGCGGCCCCCUGGACGAAGACUGACGCUCAGGUGCGAAAGGCGUGGGGGAGCAAACAGGAUUAGAUACCCUGGUAGUCCACGCUGUAAAACGAUGUCGAUUUUGGAGGUUGUGCCCUUGAGGCGUGGCUUCCGGAGCUAACGCGUUAAAUCGACCGCCUGGGGAGUACGGCCGCAAGGUUAAAACUCAAAUGAAUUGC